AAAUAAACUAACUUACAUUCUGAAACACGAAAAUCUGAACCAAAUAUUCACUCUUUCCUGUUUUAAAAAAGACUUUAUAUUUAUUUUAUUAUUUUUUAUGAUUAUUAAUUUUUUAAAAAAGUUUUUAUUUAAUUUCAGAAAUCCAGUAUUGCAUUA